CCUCAAACUCCUAGGCUCACUAAUGUAAAAUUUUCUGUUUGCCAAAUGCUAACUCUCAUUUGAGAAAUUAUGGCCACUUGUCCAGUACAGAACAGAAUGAAAGGCUGCUAUUAACACCCAUAAGAUUAAAUCUGAUUUUGUACUUUUUAGGGUCUAAGUAAAUGUCCAGUGGCAAAAGAAGAAAGAGGGAGAAUCAGAGUUACGACAGUUUUACAAUUUGACCUCUUGUACUUGCUAGAGACUUUGUUUUUUUUUUGUUUU
rnacentral:lncRNA from 10 species